rnacentral:rRNA from 1 species
ACGCGUCCCCAGGUCAGGCGAGACUACCCGCUGAGCUUAAGCAUAUCAAUAAGCGGAGGAAAAGAAACUUACGAGGAUUCCCCUAGUAACGGCGAGCGAACCGGGAAGAGCCCAGCAUGAAAAUCGGGCGGCAGCGUCGUCCGA